UUCAACUUUUAUUUAUCAACAAACCCUGCAAAACAUGAACAGUAACAGCCCUAACAGUGCUGUGCCCAGGCUCUCUGAACAAAACAACACAAUCAUGUCUGCGCACAGCAACAAGACCUCAGAGGUCAAUCUCCAUAUGAAACUACACAGAACUGGGUCAAAGAAAAGCUGUGAUGUACACCACACACACACCAAUGUGCAUUUUCAAUCACACAAAGCUACUUCUACUAUUAAACCUCAAACACAUUUUAAGUGCACUUACUGGGGGAAAAAUGCCUAAAAACAUUUCUCAAUUAUGACAUAUCUGUAAAACACUUGGUGUAAACUGAAUUAAAACCCCCAAAACAAAUACAAACUAAACCCUAACAGUGAACCUUGUCUUAAAGAGAUGAAAUACAGCAUAUUGUUUUAAAUCAUGUCCUUCAUUUUUUAAGUAUGAGUUGAUUAAUGAGUUAUUGUAAACAAAAGUUAUGCCGUAAUUGUCCUGUAGUGUGGAACCCUGAAACCACUGGACAAACAUUAGACCAAUGACGAAGAUGAGAAGUAAUAAUGAUGAGGCUACUGAGUUUCGUUUACUGCCUCAACCUACACCCCAUGAAUUUAAAAAAAGAAAAGAGAAAAAAAAAGGAGGGUGGUGUGCUUCAAAUUAAUGGAAUGACCAAGUGCUCUUAUGCUAUAGUAAACAAGUUAAUGAAGAUUAUUAAUAUGAGGAGCAUUAGACCUGAACUUGAGUUAGAAGACAAAUAUGCCAAUGCUGAAAAAAAAAACAGAUUGAGGUCAAGACAAUGUAGUAAUAUACAAAUAUAUACAUAUGUACAGAGAGCCCAAGCACAGGAUAAAACCCUCCAACCAAACAUUUAAAAUAAUUCCAAAAGUAAAUUAAAACUAAAAUAUAAAUAAGCACAAAAAGUGGGCUUAAAAAAGUCGUCCCGUUCUAUGUUUGGGAUACUUAAAAAGAAACAAAAAAAAAAAAAAAAAAAGUGAUCCCAAGUGCCAGCUAGUUUGGUGAGGGUGCUCUGCUCUUCCUGUGCUGUCACUGUGAUCCAUGUGGGUUAAAAGCAGCUGACUGCAGGUCAGCACUACAAAUUGUAGUUGUGGGAUCAGAUUAGCUGAAGUGGAAAUAUCAUGCAGUUUGGUGUUAAAAUGGCUCUCAAAUGUUUGAGGCACGGAAUGAGAGGCGAGGGCAUUUGGAAAACAGCCUGAAGAGUUGGGUUACUCCAGACGUCCGGAGAAUCAAGGUGUAAUCUUGUCUAAAUUCUGACUCCCUGAGGCCUGCAUGUGAGGAAGAGAAAGGCC
ensembl:lncRNA